rnacentral:lncRNA from 1 species
UCUUUUUCUAGGCUAACUAGCCUGCUAACUCAUAAUCAUAGAACAAUCACCAUUAACUGGUUCCAAGAAGACACAACGAUGUUGGAUGAAAUCAUUGAACUUACCUUUCAAUGGAGUGCUCAAUGGGAAGAAGCCAGAUGUGGACACGAAGACAAUCAGAGUUAAGUGAUUUUUUUUCACGGUCACACAGCAUGUAA